UGCCAGCCGCCGCGGUAACACGGGGGGCGCAAGCGUUAUUCGGAAUUACUGGGCGUAAAGCGCACGUAGGCGGAUCAGAAAGUAUGGGGUGAAAUCCCAGGGCUCAACCCUGGAACUGCCUCAUAAACUCCUGGUCUAGAGUUCGAGAGAGGUGAGUGGAAUUCCGAGUGUAGAGGUGAAAUUCGUAGAUAUUCGGAGGAACACCAGUGGCGAAGGCGGCUCACUGGCUCGAUACUGACGCUGAGACGCGAAAGCGUGGGGAGCAAACAGGAUUAGAUA
rnacentral:rRNA from 1 species